rnacentral:miRNA from 12 species
UGGGAUUUGGGCUCAGGGCUCAGCUCAGAGCUCUGGGCUCAGCUCUGGGGUUUGGGCUCUGAGCUCAGCUCUGGGCUCAGCUCUGGGCU